UAAUACGAGUGGUGCAAGCGUUAUUCGGAAUCAUUGGGCGUAAAGGGUGUGUAGACGGCUUAUUAAGUCAACUGUUAAAUUCUCCGGCCUAACUGGAGGCAAGCAGUAGAAACUGGUGAGCUUGAGGGUGGAAGAGAGGAGCGGAAUUCUCGGAGUAGCGGUAAAAUGCGUAGAUCUCGAGAGGAACACCAAUGGCGAAGGCAGCUUCUUGGUCCAUUUCUGACGUUGAAACACGAAAGCGUGGGGAGCAAACAGGAUUAGAUACCCUGGUAGUCCACGCCGUAAACGAUGAUCACUAGACGUUAGUUCUGUUUUUACGGAAUUAGUGUCGCAGCUAACGCGUUAAGUGAUCCGCCUGGGAACUACGGUCGCAAGAUUA
rnacentral:rRNA from 1 species